UUCGACGAUACUUCAUAGAAUCAUUUCUAUAGUACACGUCCUCUUCUGAGCUUCCUACAGAAGCCACAGAUUCUCCAACCUGGUUGAUGACUUUCAGCCUCGAUGCCCCGGAGUGAGGCCUUAUUGCAUCUGCUUAGGCGGAUGUGGCGAUGAUCUUCAGCCAACUGGGCUCGUACUUCGGUCGACCUGGGCGGCAGGGCGUUGAUGGCAAUCUGACAGGC
rnacentral:snoRNA from 1 species